rnacentral:rRNA from 1 species
CUCGUAGGCGGGGGCGUGCGUCCGAGAAGAAAUCUCAAGGCUCAACCUUGGGGCUAUCUCGGAUACGGCGCUUCUUGAGGGUGAGAGAGGAAAGUAGAAUUCCCGGUGUAGCGGUGAAAUGCGUAGAUAUCGGGAGGAAUACCAGCGGCGAAGGCGACUUUCUGGCUCAUUCCUGACGCUGAGGAGCGAAAGCGUGGGUAGCGAACG